UUCCUGGGCUCCAGCUGCGCAGUCCAGAGUUGUGAGCGUUAAGGAGGGUGCGCAUCUAGGUGGGAUGGAGUCCGGGGACAGUUUCCUUGAAAGCUGGCAAAAAUCCAGGGACCUGCAGGACGAGAGCGGAGAGCCUGGGGCGGAGGGGGUCCAAGCUCUAGCCCAGGUGUGGAGGCACUUAGUUUGCAGUCCCAACUGAGUGCUCAGGAGGUAAGGAUCCAUUGUCCGGCUAGACGAGAGGAUUUUAAUCAGUGCUGACCACACGGCCUUGUUUUUAAACUUCGAUCGUCUGAGUCGGGAGACAAACAAGCUCGCGCAGGUUCCGAAGUCCUGACUGACAGCUGCUCGGUCCUCUGUUUAAAAAACACGACGUUGUUUGCACUGGCAGUCUUACAUAAACUUCAUAGCGCUGAGAGGCCAGCGUAGUUAACCCUAUUAAGGAUAACAAGCUAGGCCGGGUGGGUGGAGGGACGUGCUCAGGCUACCAGCCAGUGUUGAGGAAGCGCUGAUUCAGAGGUAGGUGUGACUCGCUUCCUGUCUCUGGCACUAAUCCUGCACCUGCCUCAAGUCAGCAUCUGCGCCUUCAUAGUGACCUGUCCACCUGUAGGCCCGCAUAGCAGAUGUUUUCUAAGAAUUGUGGUAUGUCCUGUCGGCUCCUUAGCUGAGACAGGUUGCUCCCUCUAAUCAGUACCGUGCAAGGACGCGUUUUCUCAGUCUCAUAUAGGAAUCAAGGUCCGGUUUGUGAUACUAAAAUUAGUUUUCUUGGCCCAAGUUUUAGCUUCUGGUAACCAGAGUAUUGAGAGUGUUGAGCUGUGAAUUAGGAAGUAGGGAGCCGAGGGGAUGAGACUUUUUUUUCCCAGAAGUGAAAGUGGCCUUCUGACCUUAGACCUCUCUGACAAACAGAAGUCGGAGUUGGCAGCGUUACUGGGUUUUGCUUUGUUUUUCGAUGAUCUUGCUUCGAAUCCCAGUCUGGCCUCAAGCUUGCAGUCUCCAAGUGCUGAGAUUACAGGUGUGUGCCAUCACGCCUGGUGUCCAUGGUCGUUACUUCUGGCCUUGAGAGUAUGAGUGAGUGUCCGGAACAAGGUAGUUGGCAAAUGCCCCAGGAAUCAGAGCCUGGCGCAGGCAUUGAUCUUACAUUUUAGUUCAUUGUUCCUGAUGGUUGGAGAUCAUCACAUGGCUAAUCAACAAUCUAGUCAUAUGUUUGUAGGUGAAUUCCACCCGUAAAUAUUGACUGUCUUCAUUCUCUUAAGAUUUACAACCAGUCAUCUUGCUGGCCCAGGCUUGAGGUCUUUACAUUCAAUAACCUCAUUAUUUCUUCUUUUUACAUCUGAUCCACUUUACAUUAGGCUUCUGAAAGCAUUUCAGUUUGGUUUAAAUAUGCCUUCUCCUAAUGUUUUGUAAUAAUGUUUAAUAAUGUUCUUUUUGUUGGGGGCUGGAAAGAUGGCUCAGCAGUUAAGACCACUGUCUGCUUUUCCAGAGGUCCUGAGUUCAAUUCCUAACAACCACAUGGUGGCUCCCAACCGUCUAUGUUCUCUCCUACCCUCUUCACAUGUAAAUAGAGCACUCAGAUACAUUAAAUAAAUAAGUAAAUAAUUUUUUAAAGAAAAUUGUAUGUGUGAAGGUGUCAGAUCCCUUGGAAUUGGCAGUAUACAUCUGCGAGCUGCCAUGUGGGUGCUGGGAAUUGAACCCAGGUCCUUUGGAAGAGCAGACGGUGCUCUUAACCACUGAGCCAUCUAAUAAUGUUUUUUGUUUGGGAGAAGUGCCUGUUCAACUCUUCCUCCCCUCCCCCAUAUUUAUUACUGAUUUAGAGAGUUCUGUAUUCUAUAGAAUAUUCCUUUGGGGAUUUGUGACUAUGUUUUUCUUCAUAGACUUCCUUCUUUCCUUCUUUCCUUAAAUAGGCUCUCACUAUGUUACUCUGAUAUCAAACUUAUUGUCUUCCCUCUUAGUUCUGAGUCCAAAGGCUUAUGGGUAUGUGCUAUUACACCCAGUUUGUUCUAUUGUUGUUUGUUUGUUUGUUUGUUUGAGACAGAGUCUCACUAUAUAGCCCCGGUUGGCCUGAAACUCACUAUGUAGGCCAGUCUGGCCUCGAACUCACCAAGAUCUGCCUGCCCCUGCCUCCCAAGUGCUGGGAUCAAAGGUGUGCGCCACCAAGCUGGCACUUUUUCUGGUUUUAAUAGAUUUUAUGUAGAUCAAUUUUUCAUCUUUUUUUUUUUUUUUCUCUUAUGACUAUUAGUCUGCUCAGGUCACCAAAACAAAAUACCACCCAGAUGGCUUAAACAACAGAAAUUUAUGUUGUUAGUUUGGGAGGCUGGACUUCUUUCUGGUGGGCUGUGUCCUGGCUUUUAUGCUGCUGCCUUGUGCCUGUGUGCUCACAUGACCUUUCUGUUCUCACAGGGAGCGAGAAGGAGAAGACAGAGACAAAGGGAGUACUCUCUGGUCUCUCUCUCUUCUUAAAAGGAUGCCAAUCCAUCCAGCUACCAUGUGGCUUCAUUAGCCUUAAUUACUCAUAAACCUCUCCACAAAUAGAGUCACACAAGGGAUUAGGGUUCCAAAAUAUAAAUCUUACGAGCAUCUAUAAUAACAACUCCUUCAAAAGGAGGCAAGAGUUUGAAGUUGUCGUUUCUACAGAAAAGAUACACAGAUGACUAAUCAGCUCAUUAAAAGUGUUCAAAACUGCUAACCCUUAAAGGAAUACAACCCAAACCACAUCGAGAUGCCCCCUCAAAUCCAUUAGGAUUCCUGUAGGAAGAAGCAAAACAGAAACUGAAGUGCUGUGGGGAUGAGAAGAAAUGAAAACCUCUUUGCACUGCUGGGAAUAUAAAGCAGCAGCUGCUGUGGGCACCCGAGGCAGUGCCCGCAGGAAAGGAAACCUCUGCAGCAGUCAGUUCACAAGUACAGAUGGUCUCCAUUUUAGCAGUUCUAAUUCCAAUUUUAAAAUUUUUAUAGUGCUUCAAAAGUGGUGCACAUUCAAUUUGUAUGUGGUGGUGGUGGAAGUGUGUUUAUAUGUACACGUUUGUGUGUGUAUGUGCACACAUGCGCUAGCCAGAGGCUGACAUCAGCAUCGGAGCAUCUACCUUUAUUUAUUCAUAUUAAUUAUAUUAUUUAUAUUAUGUUAAGUGUUUCUUUGAGACAGGGUUUCUCUGUGUAGCCCUGACUGUCCUGGACUCACUUCGUAGACCAGGCUGGCCUUGAACUCACAGCGAUCUGCCUGCCUCUGCCUCCCUGAGCUAAGGACUGUAAAGGUGUGCGCCCCUAUACCCAGCUUCACCUUUAUUUAUUAUUUAUUUAUUUUUAAGUGAAUUCUGGCAAUCCAGAAGUUAGGUCUUUAUACUUAGGUGGUAUGCACUUUACUUACUGAGCCAUCUUCUCAGUCCCAGAAACUAUACUUUGGUUUUAACUUUGAUUCUCAUCCUGGGCUAACCGUAUGUGAACUAUGUGGAAUGAUACUCUGUUGUGAUGCUGGGAGGAGGAGGCAGAAAGCUGUGUCCCUAAUCAGCCACAGAAUCCUAAAGAUAAGAGCAAUCAUGAUACUUUCCAGUGGAAUGUGUCUGAUAAAUUAUAUGUGAUACUUGUCACCUCAUUGUACUUUGUGUUUGAUUAUUUUACUGCUCUAUUAGAUAACAUAUGUAUUCUGAAGCAUAUUUCAAGAAGGCUAGGGCCAAGAGAGGGCUCAGCAGAUAAGAGCACUUGCUGCCAAAAAUGAUUACCUGAGUUCAAUCCUGACGACCCAUAUGAUAGGAGAGAUGGCCUCUAACCUCCAAAUGCAUGCUGUAGUGGACAUGCCCACACAAAUACAUAGAUACACACAAUAAUAAAUAUAGCUUGUCUAAUGGUAAUACUAAUGUAGGCUAGACUAAGCUAUGAUGUUUGAUGGGUUCCAAGUAUUAAGUGUGAUUUUGACAUAUAGUAUUUCAACUUAUGAUAGUUUUUUUCAGAACAUAACCACAAGUCAAAAAGCAUCUGUAUGUACCCAAAGGAACUGAAAGCAAGGACUGAAAUAGUUUCUUCUGUCCCAUGCCUAUAACAGCAUUGCUUACAAUACAAGUGACCAUCAACACAAAUAGAUUUUGUUGUUGUUGUUUCAAGACAGGGUUUCACUGUGUGUGUUCCUAGCUGUCCUGGAACUCACUCUGUAAACCAGGCUGGCUUUAAACCCAGAGAUCUGCCUCUGCUUCCCAAGUGCUGGAAUUAAAGAUGUGUGCUACCACCACUUGGCUAUAGAUUUUUUUUUCCAGUGGCGCAUACAUAUCAUGAUGUGUCAUUGACCCUUAAAAGGGAUGAAAUUCUGACACAUUCCACAAUUCUGAAAACACACUAAGUGAAAUAAACAGAUAAGUGUUGUAUGAUUCAUUGGUAUGAAAUACCUAGAUUAUGAAAAUGCCAGUCAGAAAGGGGAGCUCACAGGGCCUAGAGAAAGAGAUCAUGGGGAAUUAUUAUUUGCUGUAACAUUUCUGUUCCGGGAGAUUUAAAAAAGACAUAUCUGGAAAUGUUUAGAGAGAAGCUCUUAUGUACUGUAUGGAAGCAUCACCUGUCAAUAAAACCCUGAUGGCCUGUUAGCUGAGGCAGGAAAUAGGAGGUGGGAGUUAUAGGAGAGAGAGAUGAGCUCUGGGAUAGAGUCAAAAGAGAUUCAUCCCAGACUCUGAGGAAGAUGGACACAUGGAACGAGGAGAGGUAACCAGCCAUGUUGUACGCUCAGAAUAGAAAAACAGAUAAAAUAAGUUAGGAGCUGGUUGUGGAACAAGCCAAAGCUUGUGGACUAGGCAUUCAUUCAUAAACAGUAAAGUCUCAGCGUCAUUAUUUUUGGGAACUGAGAUGUGGAGGGAAUAGCAACGCUGUUACAGAAAUGGAACUAGAGAGAUGGCUCAGUGGUUAAGAGCACUGGCUGUUCUUCCAGAUGAUCUAGAUGCAAUUCCCAGUACCCACAUGGCUAAUCACAACCACCUGUAACUCCAGUUCCAGCGGGAUCCAAUACCUUUUUCCACCUCCACAUUCACCAGGUACUCGGAUGGCAAAUAUACAUACAUGCAAUGAAACACAUAAAAAAUAAUAACAAUAAACCUAAAAAAAACCCAGAAUUAUAAUAUGACCUAGAACCUGGAUCUGUGCACAGGAAAAUUAAAGCAGAUUCACUAGGAGAGCAUUGUGUGCCCAUGUUCACAGCAGUGUUACAGUAGCUAGAAGGCAGAAGAAAAUGUCCUCUGAUGGACAAAUAAGCAUAAUAUGUGUAGACAGACUGAAAUGUUACUAAAAGAAAGGAGAUUUUGAGGCGCUUUGAGACUCUUUCUCCAGAUGAAAUCGGCCAGUCACAGAUGAAUCCUGUGUUGUUUCACUGAUGCAAUGUUGCCAUCAUAAGAGUCAAGAAAGCGGAACAGUGGUUGGCAGGAGCUUGUGGGGGAAAGAGCAAGAGAUAAUAGACCACUUCAGAAAAUUACCUCAUUACUCUUGGUUGAAAAAUAUUAUUCAAUAUUUAGCACAGACUUGACAUUGUUCAUGGACAGCAAGACAAGUUGUAAUCACACAGAUACUUUUUUUUUUUUUUGACAGGGUGUUGUGUGUCCUAGACUCAUCUUGAACUGGUUGUGUGGCAAAAGCUAAGUUUCAGCUUCUGAUCUUCCCAUUUCCUCCUAUGGAGAGCUGGGAGGACAGACAAUGCAGCACCAUUGUUUAUGUGCUGCUGGGUGUGGAACUUGGGCUUUUAUGCCCGCCAGGAAAGCACUAUGCUAUAAUGAGAAAUUUUGGUUUCUUAAAAACACAGAAAUGUUAUGUAAAUGUGUCUUUGUUUCAAUUUCAGAUGUGAUAUAUGGGGCUGCUUUAUAUCACAUCAGGUAACUUCGAUUUGUCUCAGACUGUCUCAGGGGCAUGGUUUUGCCAUCUAGUUUAUGUCUGAAAUCCUGGGGACUCUUCAGAGGCUAUAAAUGCUAGAGCCCAGGGCGGGCCUACAGCAGCUGCUGCUCCUGUUGGCUGUUUGCUGUCUGAUGGGCUACUGGUUGGAGAUAUCCUAACAAUGAAGAUCAAAUUUGCCCCAAGGAACUCACCACCUUUAAUCAGCAGAAAAUAGUCUUACAAUAUCGACACCCCCUUUUCUUCUCUCCUACCUAUUGUUGUGCAGUUAGAAGGGAAAGGGGUGGUGUAGGGAGCUAGAAAAAAAGAACUCAAUAAAGUAGCCAAAACACCGGCUAUACUCUACUCACUGAGCUGACUCUGCAAUGCUAAAUACAGUAUUUCACAAUGAAUGACUAUAAAGGUUUCUUGAGCAGGAUACAAUUUAUAAACCUUAAGCUUCUCACAUAAAUAAUUAAAAAUUAUAUACAUUGAAAUAUGGGAUUGUAAUAAACAAAUACAUUUUUAAAAAAUUAAAAAAGAAAUAUAGGAACAGCUAUGGAUUGACCAAAACCAAGGCAGCUUUGGGAAAAUGGGCAAGCACUUUAAAAAUAAGGACAAAUGAUAGGCAUGGUGAUGCACAACUUUUGUCCCAGCAAUCAGGAGGUGGAAGCAGGUGGAUCUCUGAGUCCGGAGGUCAGCCUGAUCUACAUAGAGAAACCAAGGGGGGAGGGCAGACACAUAAAAAGACUGAGGCAGGAGGAUUGAUGUGAACUUAAGAGCAGCCUUGGCUACAAAGUGAGCUCCAGGCCAGCAUGGAAUGUAUAAAGAAACCCUGUCACAAAAGAAAAAGACAAGAAAUUAGAGAGAUGGCUCAGAGACUGAGCACUAUUCUUACAAAGCACCCAAUUCCAGUUUCCAGCACUUAACGGCAUGUGGCUCACAGCUGGUAACUCUAGCUCAGGGGAUCUGUGUUGCAGGAUAUCUAAUCCCUUUGUGAACCCCAAAAUUGUUAACUGUAAAACCCUGUUUCUUUGGUGUGGCUGAGACCUAUCACACACCUUUAAUCCAAGAACUUCCUGUUUAUUGUAGACUGGUGAUUAUGGUGUGGUUCACCCAGCCCUAGCACACACCUCUAAUCCAAGAGCUUUCUGUACACCUUUAAUGAGGUGAACUCUAGGUCAAAAGGUGGAGCAAGAAACCAGCUGACAGAAAGUAACGAGUAGGAGGGACUUGAGCUGAGGGGUAUUUAAGACAGUGUGGCGAAUAAAGGUCUAUUAGCUUCAGUUCCUCAGCUCUCUGGCUUUUUGAGCUUUGAGCUAUCAAGCCUUUAGUCUGGGUUUUUUGGCCUUUUGCUCCUGGGCUGUCAGCUGAGCUAGUGAGCCUUUUGGGUUUUUUCCAUCCAGACCUGAGCUGAGAAGGAAGGUUAGCUGGUUACUUUCUCUGCCUCUCUGAGCUGGCAGGUUUUCACCCCAGCAUCUAGCUCCUGGGUCUUUAUUGGUAAAAUAGAACAGGUGGGAUUUUCCUUCUUUUAAACAACAGAUUUGAUGCCUCUGGCCUCUGCAAGCACCUUCACACACACACACUUUAAAAUAAUAAAAAUUAAAAUAUUUUUAAAAAAUAAAAGAAUAAAAAAGGUUGAUACAGCUGGGAGGUGGUGGCACACACUUUUAAUCCCAGCAGAGGCACAGGCAGAUCUCUGAGUUUGAGGCCAGCUUGGUCCACAGAGUGAGCUCCAGGAUAGCCAGGAGGAACCCUGUUUCGGAAAGAAAAAAAAAUUGAGAUUAUAGCUCUGUGGUACAGCACUUUCCUAGUGCAUAAUGGUUAUGAGUUUAAUUCCCAGUAUUAAAAAAAAAAAAAAAAAGAAAAAAGUAGGUGGAUCUCUGUAAGGCCAGCCUGUUCUACAGAGCUACUUCCAGAUCAACCAGGGCUACACAGAGAAGCCCUCAUGUCUGGGAGGAAAUGAAAAAGUUCCUGGGCCUCUUCCUUCACCCCCAACAUCCUUAAACACAGGUAGGCUUUAGGCUGGUGGAGGGGCUCCUGGGUUGCUGCUGGGUGCAGGAACCCUGAGCCCAGUCCUGCAGACGCACAGGACUGGUUGUAACCUCAGCAACUAACAUGCAGACUGCAGCAGUAGCUAGGCCUGCUGUGGGAGCCACGUCAAUCAAUGCCUCGUGGUGUUUGGAAAUCGCUACGAAGUGAGCACCAGUGUAAGCCAACACAGUAAGAAAGAGAUAGUUGCCACCAUGUUUAGAAGACACCAGGGUGUUUUUAAAAACUGGAUGAUAUCAUUCUGAAGAGUCAGUGGAACUGCUAACAUGAAAAACAACUGAGGCACGAGGGCUUUAGCUCAGUGGGUAGGGUCUUCACCUAAAGGCCCUGGGCUUAAUUCUCCACCACCUUCUAACCCUAGCACUGCAUUCAACCAUCCCAAAAGGAUGCUCAGCAGCUUCUGGUCCUCUGAGCUACCUGAGUCUAUCUCAAAUCAGCCACCCAACAGAGAUGUUCUUUCCUCAUUCAUCCUGUUCUCACAGGAAGAUAUCAAACCAUACAAAAGCUGAGGUUCGGGUUGUUAGAAGUGGGAGAGCUGAUUCAGGUCAGAAAGAAAGAUGGGUGUGACCUAUGUCCGGCCCUCAGGUGUAGGACCUGCCUAAGCCAGGAUUGCAGCGGCUGGCCCCAGCAGACAGAGAUGUAAUGGGAAGUGACUGCAUGGAAGAGCUUGCCCUGUGCCAGGUAUGUUCUGGGGUUUCUGAUGUUCUUCACAUAAGCUGGCUCCAACUUCUGGCUCUUUCUGCAGUGUCAAGUUGCCUACCUCUUGUGGGCCUCAUGUUAUAAUGAAUACCAACAGUCAGAUGCUUGUUCCUAAAAUGGAUUUGUUUUAUAGGUCCAUGUUGUUAAAAUAACAGCUCUUGGGGAGGAGGGAACAGAGAGCCUGUGUGUGUGUGCAGGCAUUUCACCCGGAAGAGAAAACCCUCAGGGCAGAAAACCAAGAACCUGGACAGACAGAAGGGCUUCCUAGAUCUGAAGCCAUUCUUGAUCAUCCAGCGCUGAAAGACCCAGGUGUGACGGCAGAGCCACCCUCCCAGCCACUGCUGGAGAUGAAGGGCAGCUUUGAGAACAGCAGGGAGAGUGCAGGAGGUCCAGGAGAGGCUAUCUGGGAAAUGCGAUGCCAUUGCAGGACUGGUGUUGAGAGGUCUGCAGAAGCGGGUGCACAGGAAGGUUGCAGAGGGUUUCCCACCAUGCAUAGAUAGCUUCAGCGUCUUCUCCACUCUGUAGGAGCCUCACUGCUCUCACACAAUGUUAUAACAUUUGACACUCAUGAUUUUACCCCAGUGUUGGAGAAUCCAGGACGUUACAGGUCAAGCUUUCCAAAGUUGCCUGUUUUGGCUGGGAAACUUUUAAAAGGUUUGCAAGGGUGAGUCACCUAGUUGACAGCAGAAGGAACACAGUACAGUUUGCUGCCUUCCAAGUCAGUCAUGUCCUAUCUGAAGGUUUUACAAGAAGUUCAUCCUGUUAAACAAAAAUUUAAAAAUCUAGCCUUAAAACAUUUCAUCUUGUUGAGCAGUGCUGGUGCGUGCCUUUAAUCCCAGCACUUGGGAGUCAGAAGCAGAUGGAUCUCUGUGAGUUCAAAGCCAUCCUGGUCUAUAGAGCAAGUCCAGGGUAGCCAGCACUGUUAUACAGAGUUACUUUGUCUCAGAAAAAGAAAAGAAAAAGAGGAGGAGAAAGAAAGAAAAACUAAACAAAACACCCAACCAAAUAAACAAAAAAGACCCCACCAAACAAACAAAACAAACCAUUUUAUCUCUGGCCUCCAAGUAUGUAUAAUUCUGUAAAGUUACGAAGCAGAGCAGCUGUAUCCUUUAAUCUGUACAUAUAAUCUAUGCGUGCAUAUUAAUCUAUACAUAUACCAUAAGACAUUUUCUAAUGAUGUCUUGAAAUGUUACAUAGAUUCUAAACACUAAUAAAUAUGAUAAAUUGUUUUUUACAUAUUUCCCAAGCCUUUUUUUCUAAUACUUUAUCUAUUUUCAUUUCUAUAGUCAUAACUUCCAGUAGUUUAUGCCUCUUCUCCUGCUACAUUACUGUAAUGCCAGGUUCAUGGGACCCUCAGAGACCACCAGAUGACUCCAUGCAAUAGCAAGAGAGCUUUAUUACGAGAGCAAUCUAACUCGGGACCCAAGUCUCACUGAUGCAGCAGUAAAGAAGUGGGACCUCGAGCCCUGAGUGAGCAGGGUUUUUAAAGGGAAAGACUGCAAGCAGGGGGUUUCCAUGACAGCAAGCAGGGGGGCACAUAAUCACAAUUGCCUAAGGCAUAUAAUCACAAUUGCUAUUCUUCUAAACUAUAUCUGAAACACUGGGGAGAUUUUUCCCAGCCUUCCCAACUGAUUUUUAUUGAUUAUUGCCAGGGAGAUUGUCUCUAUUUUCAAUGAAGUAUUUAUUCUGUGAUAUUUCCUGGAGGCUGUUGCUAGGAGAUUUAACUUUGUUUUCUGCCAAGUGUACAUUCUGUGAUAUUUCCUGGUACCUGAAUUCAGCUCCCAGUCAAGAUGGCUCUUUAUUUCAAAACGAAGUCACCCAGACUAACUUAAACUCUUCAUUACCAUUGUUACAUUCUUAUAAAAAGAAAAAGAAGAUGGGUGUGGUGGUGCAGGCCUUUAAUUCCAGCAAAGGCUGAGGCAGGUGGAUCUCUGGGUUCAAGAUCAUCCUGGUCUACAGAAUGAAUUCCAGGACCACCCCAAGGCUACACAGAGAAACUCUGUCUUGAAAAACCAGAAAAUAAUUUUUUCCUGCUUUUGUUUCUUUUCUAAUAAUUUUUAAAAUGUGGAGACUUAUUUGUAGAGUCCUUGAAAUUUGAAUAUAAAUUUGGAGCAUAUAAGGGCUUUUGUUUUUUUGAUGAAAGGUCUCAUUAUUUAACUCAAACUAGCCUAACUGCACUACCUAGUUUAGAGUGACCUUGAACUUCUGAUUUUCCUGGCUCCAAGCUUUCAGAUUCCGGGAUUACAGUCAUGAGCCUGGGAAGAUUUUGAUUAUUGGGACAAUUUACUAUUAAUUAUUUGACUUACUAUCAAAGCCUGUAUUAGAGUUGUAGUUUUAUUAAUGUAUUUUUUGUCAUACUUUUAUAGAAAAAAAUAUUUUCAUUCAUAUUUUAAAUGUAGCUACAUGAUUUUUUGAUGUUUUCAAAAAUUGUUUUGGCUAUACUAAAUCUUUUGCUUCUUUCUCUCUUCCUUCCUUCCUUCCUUCCUUCCUUCCUUCCUUCCUUCCUUCCUUCCUCUCUUCCUCUCUUCCUCUCUCUCUUCCUCUUUCUUUCUGGAGGUGUUUUCCUUAGGGCGGAGGGGGGGAGUUUAAGGGUUUUCUGGGUAGCCCUAGGUGUCCUGCCUCUGCCUCCCAAGUGCGUGGAUUGCAUUCUGCCAUUAAAAAAAAAAUUAAUGUGUUUGAGUAUUUUGCACAUGUGUACCACAUGGGUGCAGUGCCAUGGUGGCGAGGAGAGGACAUGGGAUGCCCCUGGCUGGCACUGGAAUUACCGGCAAUUGGGAGCUGCCUGCCGAAGUGCUAAUUGCUGAACGCUGGUCCCCUGAAGAACAGUACUCACUGCUAACUGCCAACCCACCUCUCCAGUCCCUACCACCAAGUAACACUUUAUUGUGUGCUACUCUGUGGUGUGAUGACAGGUCUUGCUAAAGCCCCGGGGCAGGGCAUGGCUGCCAUACCUCCCUCCACCCAGGGGCGGGGCUUCUCUCCCAGAGACCCUCACUAUAUUACCAGACAUCUUGGUUCUGUUGCCCCUUCUUGACCUCUUGCCCUUCCCACUCUCCCCACUCUUCCCCCGCAAAGCGAGCGUUCCCCUUCCCCCUCUCUCGCUGCUCCCAAUAAACCUGCAUUUAUAUCUUGUAGCUGCAUCUCUCUAUUAGCCCAUUCUGUUUUAUUUAAUUAAUCAGGUGUGUCUUUGCCCCGGUCGCCAUGCAGUUAACCCUGUGAUAUUUGCAUCGGGGUUUUCCUCACUCAGUUAAGAUGCUUUUUGAUCCAGAUGAGAAAGUUGUGGAUUUAUGUCUUCUAACUUCUUUUGCUUCAGUCAGCAUGUCUUAUCAUGUACUGGCACCACGCUGGGGUACUUACUAGUGGAUUAUAAACCACCUCAGUGCCCAUUAGGUAUGCUGUGCUCUACUGGCUCUCAAAAUUUCCUGUCUACAUGCUCAGGGGUGGUUUUCUUAAGGAACUUUUACACCAAAGUAAGCAAAAUAAAUCAAUACAUAUAAAAAGGGACUAUAUUAAAACUAGUAUUUGAGGAAUACAUGUUUAAGGUAAUGAAAAAAUCAGUUUAAUUCAUUAUGGUGUAGAGGAAGGGAAAUAAGAUUACGUGUAGUAAAUGAUUUGGGACACUAAUACUUCUUAGUGAUCAAUUCUUAACUUGUCAAAAAUGGAGUUUUCCAUACUACUUUUCGGGUGAUUAAAAACAAAGAUUGAGGUAGGCAGCUUGUCAAUCAUCAGCCUUUCAGAUUAAACACGCCUGCUGUUACAGGCCUCAGUGGCUUUUGAGGAUGUAACAUGGAGCUCAGCCAGAAGUAGUGGCACCUGGUCACGGUCUGACGUACAGAGAGAAGAUGCUGGAGAACUGAGCCACUUUCUCUUCCCCAGGCCAAGUAGCUCCCUUCUCUGGGGCACUUCUGCUUUUGUUUUUCUAUUUUUCUUUUGAAACCUGAAACACUUUUGCUGAGGUGUAGCAGGCAGAGGCAUCAGAUCGACACCUUUCAGAGCAUACGUCAUUGGGCUGUGGAAAAUGUGUACCAUUGGUUACUCUGCCCAAAUCAAGAUAUGAAUGACUUCAGCCCCUCAGAAAGACUCCUCGGAGCCCAUUACAGUAAGACCCUCUCUCCUCCAUCACUGCCCCUGCCCUGAUGACAGGGAUACUUCAGGUUUUUCAAAUCUCAUGGGUAGAAUAAUGAACGGUAUAUGAUAUGGUCUUUGGUGUGGCCUGUUUCACAGAGCAUAACGCUUUUGAGAUUCAUGUAUUUCUGUCUGGUAGUAGUUUAUUCUCUUUUGUCAAGUACUCUUUUGCAUGAACACAUUGAAAUUUGUUCUCCUUAUCAGUGGGUAGAUUUGUUUAUUUGUUUGUUUUCCAGUUUGGGGCUAUUGUGAAUAAAACUUCUGUGAACAUUUUAA